rnacentral:rRNA from 1 species
AUUGAACGCUGGCGGCAGGCCUAACACAUGCAAGUCGAGCGAGCGGCGGACGGGUGAGUAAUGUAUGGGGACUGCCCGAUAGAGGGGGAUAACUACUGGAAACGGUGGCUAAUACCGCAUACUAUCGGAUAACCCAUAUGGGAUUAGCUAGUAGGUGGGGUAAAGGCUCACCUGGGCGACGAUCUCUAUCUGGUCUGAGAGGAUGAUCAGCAAAGCUGGGACUGGUAAACGGCCCAACCUCCUACGGAGGCAGCAGUGGGGAAUAUUGCACAAUGGGCGCAAGCCUGAUGCAGCCAUGCGGCGUGUAUGAAGAAGGCUUUAGGGUUGGAAAGUACUUUGAGCGGGGAGGCGUUACCCGAAGAAGAAGCACCGGCUAACUCCGUGCCAGCAGCCGCGGUAAUAC